rnacentral:rRNA from 1 species
CAGUAGCCGCGGUAAUACGUAGGGUCCGAGCGUUGUCCGGAAUUAUUGGGCGUAAAGGGCUCGUAGGCGGUUUGUUGCGUCGGGAGUGAAAACCCAGGGCUUAACUUUGGGCUUGCUUUCGAUACGGGCAGACUUGAGGCAUUGAGGGGAGAACGGAAUUCCUGGUGUAGCGGUGAAAUGCGCAGAUAUCAGGAGGAACACCGGUGGCGAAGGCGGUUCUCUGGCAAUGUUCUGACGCUGAGGAGCGAAAGUGUGGGGAGCGAACAGGAUUAGAUACCCGGGUAGUCCCUGUCUCUUAUAC